GAGGUUUAAGGAGGAGAGAUAGAUACACCUCUGAGCCGAACAGGAGGAGCUGGGCACAAACAGGAAGAAGAAAGGAAGUAGGGCCCCCUGUUCCCACCCUUGUUACUGGUAAUGAGCUCCAGCUGCCUCACAUUAAAGUAGUGCUUUGUGGCUGGUGAGGAUACCCCUUAAAAACCAUUGCUCAAGGCCUUCACAGAAAACCCUGAAAAUCCAGGUGCUGAAGAAGAGUAUUCCUUUUACCUUCCUCCUACACCCUUGAUACAAGAAAUAGAUUUGAACCCUUUGGUUGUCUUAGGUAGAUACCUCAGCAUAGGAUUUCUGGGCCACAGAUAUUUUUUAAUGAAAAGGAAAAAACUAAUGUUACGACUUUAGGGAAGUUUCUAAAAGGCAAAAAAACUAGAACCAACCUCCAUGUUACAUAGAGAAUAUAAGUAAAGAGUUGGCCAUAAACAGAUUACACUGCAAAAUUAUUUGGAAACUAGAAGGAUGGUAAUAAAAAUAGCAGCUGUAUAUUCUCUAGUCUUCAGUUGGUCAGAUAUUAGGUAAUUAUGACCAAAAGCUGUAGUCUUCUGAGCCAGGGCCCACCCCAUAAAAAGGUGUGGUUACCCUGCCCAGGCCAGGAGGGCUGGGAAACCCCAGGACAUCAGGGUUUUUUCCUGGGAAGAAAGAACUGACAACCUGUUCCCUUCUCCCCCAGCAUAUCUGCAUGAAACCUCAUGGUUCAUUUUAAUUUACUUUCUGAUGUUUCACAAUUUUGGCAUUCCCGUUGAUGGUAUCUCUCACUGAUCUUAAAAAUAGCCAAAUAUGAAAACACAUAAAAUUUUGGAUAAAUCGAAAGUGCUUUCUGAGGAGGGAAGUGUGGACGACCUCUGACCUGAACUUCCAAGCGUAAGAAGAUGGACAGGAUAGCAGAAGUGAGAAUACCCAGUUUACAGUUGGGAACAUCAAAGGUGCACAAGUUAAGGGGGUCCUUGGGCCACUGCUGACUCAUAAGCCAUCAGGUGGUAGCAGUUUCUCUGCCAGCUUUGUUCACCAGUUUCCUCCAGGGGGCGCUGUCUCCUAUUCUAGUGCCCGCUAAACCCAGGUUCCCUUUGUGUACACAGGGAAGCUCACCAAGGUGGUCUUGGAAGCUGCAAUGAAGGUGGUUACAAAACAGUACUCUUCUGAAAUUAGGCCCAGGAUGUACAUGGUCAGAUUUGCUCUGCUGAAGAGCAGGUAGAGGAUAGGAAAUCAAACUAAGUCUACGGAGAGGUUGCCAAAAAUCUCUGAGCCAGGGAAAUGGAAAUUUUGUCUAUUUUAUUAAAUCAUAAGCUCUAAAAACAAAUGGACAGCUUCCCUUCCAGAAGAUAAUUCUUAGUAAAAGACUGGAACCCCUUGCUUAGGUCUUUGUAUGAUGUCACCCAAUUUUACUCUUGCUGGAACUUGCCUCAGUGAUAGUUGGAGCGAAUCCAGCCAACUCUGUAUGCCUUGUUCUGAGGGGAAUGGGGACCUGCUGUGGGCCCAGGGCGGCUGUUGUGUUUGCCAAGGGCUGUCCUCACCAGCAACUGUCAGCCUGAAAACACUCCUUGGGACGUUGGUGGGAGUUUCAGAAAAAGAAAUCUUCUCUAUUCCUGUCCAGCAUCAACAAAACCCAGGUGAAUAGCGUUCAUUAGCAAGUUUUCUAUUCCACAACUGCUCAAACUUGCAGCCGCUCCCCAUCGCUCGCGUUACCGCCUGAGCUCCGCCUCCUGUCAGCAUUACGUAGAGAAUUGCUGCAGAAAUAUGGUCAAGAAGGUUUUUUUCACUUAUGUGGAACCCAAACAUCGAAGCGACUCACACAAGCUGGUGCAGAUGAUUUUCAAUGCUUGACUUGGACAUUUUGAGUAUGUCGGCUAUCUCCUGCGUGGUAUAACGUUGAUUGUCUUCAAUUAUUGUUUCGAUCUGAUUGCUAUCCACUUCAACUGUUCUACCCAACCAUGGAGCAUUGUCCAGCGAGAAAUCCCCAGCACGAAUUUUGCAAACCACUUUUGACACAUUCGAUCAGUCACAGCACCUUCUCCAUACACUGCACAAGUCUUUUUGUGCAUUUCAGUUGCGUUUUUACCUUUCUUGAAAU